rnacentral:rRNA from 1 species
GAUGAACGCUAGCGACAGGCUUAACACAUGCAAGGUCGAGGGGCAGCGAGGGAGUGCUUGCACUUCUGUCGGCGACCGGCGCACGGGUGAGUAACACGUAUGCAACCUGCCCUUGUCGAGGGGGGAUAAGCGAGGGAAACCUCGUCUAAUACCGCAUAUAUGGUUUUGAGGCAUCUCUUAAUCAGGAAAGAAUUAUCGGACAAGGAUGGGCAUGCGGGACAUUAGGUAGUUGGGGGUGUAACGGACCACCAAGCCGACGAUGUCUAGGGGUUCUGAGAGGACGGUCCCCCACACUGGUACUGAGACACGGACCAGACUCCUACGGGAGGCAGCAGUAAGGAAUAUUGGGCAAUGGAGGCAACUCUGACCCAGCCAUGCCGCGUGAAGGACGAAGGCCCUACGGGUCGUAAACUUCUUUUGUCAGGGAAUAAAGUCGCCUACGCGUAGGCGUUUGCAGGUACCUGAAGAAUAAGCAUCGGCUAACUCCGUG